rnacentral:rRNA from 1 species
CCUACGGGAGGCUGCAGUGAGGAAUAUUGGUCAAUGGGCGCGAGCCUGAACCAGCCAAGUCGCGUGAGGGAAGACGGCCCUACGGGUUGUAAACCUCUUUUGCCGGGGAGCAACGGGCGCCACGUGUGGCGCCACUGAGAGUACCCGGAGAAAAAGCAUCGGCUAACCCCGUGCCAGCAGCCGGGGUAAUACGGAGGAUGCAAGCGUUACCGGGUUUGUUUGGGUUUAAAGGGUGCGUAGGCGGGGCGUUAAGUCAGUGGUCAAAUUGGGGGGCCCAACCCCUUCCCGCCAUUGAAACUGGCGCUCUUGAGUGGAAGAGAAGUAUGCGGAAUGCGUGGUGUAGCGGUGAAAUGCAUAGAUAUCACGCAGAACCCCGAUUGCGAAGGCAGCAUGCCGGCUUCCCACUGACGCUGAGGCACGAAAGCGUGGGGAUCGAACAGGAUUAGAUACCCUUGUAGUC